ensembl:lncRNA
ACGGAUGGUACCCACAGUGGGAGAGAGUCAGCUUGCAGAAGAGAGGAGAUCUAGGAAGACCUAAGAAGACUGGGGACUUAGCAGGAUGAAUUUCCAGUUGACCCAUCUAAGGACAGCUCUCAUAUCUUCGACGUUUGGUUUUCUCUGGGAUAACCAGGCUGUGAGGUGGGCUGGAGAGAGAGCUGGGCAAGAAAGGAACCUCACCCUUAGCUCUACCCAUGCAUGAGUGGCUUUAUACAUAGGAUCGGAUUUUCAAACUGGGAUGAACGAGGAGCCCCUCCUAUCCUCAGUGCCUGCAACUCUCUCCAGACCCAAGACCCCAGAAAGGAGAGAAAGGAAAGGAGACAAUGGACACCUGGUACCCUACUGUGCAGCUCAAAAGAAACUUGGAAAAUACAGACUGUCCAACACAUUCAAUUCUGUUGGUGCUAAAGUUCCCUGACUCCCCAUAGAUAAGAUUGCUCAGCUGUCUUCUCAGAACUGUGUCAAGGUUUAAAUUUGUUCUCUAUUUGCUAUGUGAAACAGAUGGCCACUCUUCGUAUGCAGUCCCUCCUAUCUUCUCAAAAUAGUCUUGUAUUUAAGCCCAGUAACUUUAGUCUAGCCUUGGUAUCUUCUAAUACUUUGGUUUUAAAAUAUUUUCUU